UAUUCUAGGUGGUUGGUAGGGUUUGAUAGGUGGUUACUGUGGCAUUUCAGUUGGUUGCUAGGGUUGGUUGCAUUUUAGUUGGUUACUAGGUAGUUGUUAUGGUGUUUUGGGUGGUUGCUAGGGUGUUGUUAGUUGGUUGCUAUGGUAUUCCAGACAGUUGCUAGGGUGUUUCUAGGUGGUUACAAUGGUAUUCCAGAUGGUUGCUAGGGUGUUGCUAGGUGGUUGCUAUGGUAUUCCAGAUGGUUGCUAGGUGGUUGCUAUUGUAUUCCAGAUGAUUGCUAGGUGGUUGCUAUGGUAUUCCAGAUGGUUCCUAGGAUGUUGCUAGGUGAUUGAUAUAUCCAUUCCAUGGGUUGUGUUGGGUUUGCUAGGUGGCUUCUGUGGUAUUCCAGGUGGUUGCUAGGUCUUAGCUAGGUGGUUGCUAUGGAAUCUUAGCUACAAAUAAACACACUAACAACAAUCUGUCAUAUUCCAGGGAGUGACUAAGGUGUUAGUAGGAAGAAAAUUGCAGUUCUUUUUCAUUUCUACUGACCGCCAGAGGCGGUGCUUUCAGCACCUGGAUGUCAAUAAUGUGUACGUGCAGGUCGAGUGCUUAUACGAACAAAGUCACCUGUGGCCUGAGUGGCGUGUGCCUUUUGCCCCGGUACUAAAGGCACGUUCACCCCGGAAACGACCUCUUGUUAUCUUCUCGCGUUGGUAAGCAGGUUUCAGGAGUGCAGGCACCGCUGGUAGUCUUGUAACCCGAAGUAGGGUUGGCGCUACGGACUUUCGUCCUCCAAAGACUGUGGUUAGCCUUUUUGUGAUUAUUUAACUUCAGAUAGUACGCUAUCCUGCAAGAGAACUGGUGUAACAGUCAGGUUUGUGUGCCUCCUCGCUCAGACAUGCGUUUUCAGUUCAGUCGACACAUUUUCUAUGGGAUUCAGUGUUGUGCUGCAUUUGCAUCCAUCUCAACUCUCCGUGACUGACAGAUUACUUCGUCUAAUAAUGGAUGCAGCAGAGCUGGAUUUGCGCCAUGCUGUCUCGGCUCAGGGACAGCUGAUGGGAGAGCUAACACUUUACUCCCUAAUCGGCCCCACUAUUUGCCUCACUAUUUGCCAUCUGCUGCACAGCCAGCAGCCCUGCUUGGAGAUGGGAGGUCCUCAGUGAGUGGACCUUCCUCAGGAACCCAUGCAACAGGGGCACAGCAAGCUCAACCAGGAGCAAAGGGAGAGGUGAUGUCAGGAACACCGCUGCUUUUACUGUGGUAGCCCUGACCAUAUUGUAGUAUACUACUAUUGACCUAUAAAGCAUUAAAUGGUCUCACACCACAGUACCCGAGUGAAAUUUUAGUCUUUUAUGAUCCGCCACGCCUACUUCAAUCAAAAGGUGCAGGCUAUUUGUUGGUACCUUGAACAUUGAAGGCUACAGCAGGGGGAAAAGCUUUCUCUCAUACAGUCCAACAGUUAUGGAACAACCGUCCAAUUCGUGUUCAGGACUCAGACACAGUCUUGGUGUUUAAGUCCAGGCUGAAAACAUCUUUGUUCAUUCAAGCUUUUUGUGAAUAGUUUUUUUCUUAGGUAAAGGAGCAGAUCUAGAGGCUCACAGACAUAGAACCUGUGGGAUGUGCUGGACAAACAAGUCCGAUCCUUGAGGCCCCACCUUACAACUUACAGGGCUUAAAGGAUCUGCUCCUAACGUCUUGGUACCAGAUACCACAGCACACCUUCAGAGCACUUGUGGAGUCCAUGCUUCAACAGGUCCGAGCCGUUUUGGUGGCACGAGGGAAGACCUACACAAUAUUAAGCAGGUGGUUUUAGUGUUAUUAAUGUUAUUUAAUGUGUGGAUACUGGAAGUAUAUUAAAUAACAAAAACAAGUGUUUGAAUUAAGUUUCUCCUCACAGUUAUAUGGAGAUUUUUAUCACCUCUGAUUGAGAGGGUGUUUGUUUUCCUGUACCAUUGCAGAACCACAGUCAUGAAGAGUUUGGAAAGAGAUAUGAUUAAAGGAUUAAAGGCAGCCGUUUGUUAGCUCCAAACAUUCAGAUGUAGGGGUGAAAGAUCGCUUAUUAAACCAUGUUUGUUUUGCUUCACCA